GACGAACGCUGGCGGCGUGCUUAACACAUGCAAGUCGAACGGGAUCCGGGCUUUCGGGUUUGGUGAGAGUGGCGAACGGGUGAGUAACACGUGAGUAACCUGCCCCCUUCUUUGGGAUAACGUCGGGAAAUCGGCGCUAAUACUGGAUAUUCUUGCUGCAUCGCAUGGUGUGGUUUGGAAAGGGUUUCUGGUGGGGGAUGGGCUCGCGGCCUAUCAGCUUGUUGGUGGGGUGAUGGCCUACCAAGGCUUUGACGGGUAGCCGGCCUGAGAGGGUGUCCGGCCACACUGGGACUGGGACACGGCCCAGACUCCUACGGGAGGCAGCAGUGGGGAAUAUUGGACAAUGGGCGCAAGCCUGAUGCAGCGACGCCGCGUGAGGGAUGACGGCCUUCGGGUUGUAAACCUCUUUCAGUAUGGAACAAGGAUCCUUCUUUUGGGGGGUUUGAGGGUACGUGCAGAAGAAGCGCCGGCUAACUACGUG
rnacentral:rRNA from 1 species